UAGACAGUAAUGUUUAUAUGAGUCUGC
rnacentral:piRNA from 1 species